UGCAAAGUGUAAAAACACUCGACUAAAUUGGUCUCUUAGACUUGCUAACUAAAGUAUAUCACUGAUUUGAUUGAGAGGCCAACCACUGGGGAGAUAUAAAUUGUUCAUUGGUGGAGAAUGCAGAAUAAUCACUUGGCAACUUUGCAAGCUUUGGUGAGAUAUAAAGUUUCCACGUCCCUGCCAAUGAGCUAAAUGCUGUGCGUCCGCCAAAUAUCCAAUGAGGUACGAAUCCCAGAUGCUGCUAUCUCCAGGUUUAGCCAUGCUCUUCCUCUUGAGGAGCUCCGCUGCCGAAGUGUGCCCAGAAAACUGCAAAUGUACAUCUUCAUCUCGGGGUGUGACAAUUAACUGCAGCUUUAGAGAGCUACGGGAAAUACCACUUGUUCCUGAAGACACGACAGAGCUUUAUCUGCACAACAACUUACUAACUACAGUGGCUCCAGGUACUUUUGACAAAAUGCCUAACUUGCGGACGAUUAGCCUGCACAGCAACCCCUGGAACUGUGACUGUCAUAUUGCAUAUCUGAAGCAGUGGGUACAGAACCCACCAGUGAAGGUUCAUUCCAACGUCACCUGCUUCACUCCUCCUUCAGUCAGAAUGAAGCCCGUGGCAGAACUCCGAGGAACUGAAUAUUCGAGGUGUCAGUCUCAUAAUCUAUACCGAUGCUACUACUUGUGGAUUACAAGCAUUACACUUUGCCUACUCUAUCUACUUCUUCUCAUUCUGAUGAUGCGUUCUCUCACCAGCAUCAAAUCAAAAGCUUACAUCUUUACACCGCUGAGAAAUGUUAAUCUAAUUGAACACGUUCCUUUAAAGGAACGAAGACAAGACAAGAAAAGAUUAUUGCCGGUGGAAUUUGCGUCAAGUAAUGAAUGGCCAGAUGACCUGGAGUACUCUUGUCUCCAUGAAAGUAUGGAGAUUUUGCCACAAAUAGUACAAACAUUAAAUGUAAAAUUUAACAUUAAAAUCAAGGAAUUCUGAACUAUAUGUCCACAUAGCACAUCAAUUAACAGUUUAAGGGCAAUUAAAAGUCUGAACUAAGGCAUGAAAUCUCUAGAAUGAGCAGAGCUGAGUCAACUAUGUCAAAAAUAAGAGCUCACUGUUAUUAUCAACAAUCUUGAAUGUGGAGAUGAUGAUUUAUAGAGAUACUGGGGGGGGGGGAAAGGACAAGAUAACUAAAACAAACCUAGCAUUAUGAAUUGAUAUGACCUACAUAUGCACCCACAGAGUAGAACUGGCCAACAGAAUCAAACGACACUUCAUCAAUCCUAUUUCACAGAUGGGAGAUUGAGAGUUUACAAAUAAAAGAAAGAAGGCAGGAGAACACAAGUGAAAAAGCCAGUAAUGAUAUGAAGAAAACCAAGUAAUUUUUGUGCAUUUUAUUUUAAUUAAAAAUGAUCCAGUUUGCAAGAACUAAACUAUUCAUUGGUUACAAGGCUGACGUUGCCUUUUUUUUUGGACAACUGGUUGCACUUUUCUGUCAUUGCAAUCGUGCAGGAGCUAAAUUUGAUUUGGUUUGCAAUCUUUGCACAAACUGAUAUUCCAUAUAUUUUAAGGAUGGUAGUGUCACAGUUUUGGGUGGCCAGUCCCUGCCGGGCAGCACUCAUGAGUAGCUUCUUUCCUGACCUCUGGUGUUGUCUGUGUGGAUUCUCCCUGAGGUGGCAUGGAUUUCCGUAUCACCAAGAUGCAUGGGUUGCUAGGUUAAUAGACCACUCUAAUUGGUUCCUAACACAGAGGCAAGUGGUAGAACCUGGGGAGAGAUGUUGGGAAUGUAAGGAGAAACAUGAGGGAAAUAGUGGGGAAAUGGGAUUACUCAGUGAGGUGGCAGGAUCAUUUCCCGAUCAGUCAGGGCAUCAAAGGAUAUGGCGGGAAGGCAGGUGUAUGGGGUUGAGUGGGAUCCGGGAUCAGCCAGGAUGGACUGGCCUAAUUCUGCUCCUAUGUCUUAUGGUCUAAUGAAUAGCCUUUUUUAUGUCAUAAAGAAAUGUGGAAAUAAAAUUUAUGUAAUGAAAGGGAAGUGUAUAUACGGCCAAAAAGUUACAAAUAUCUGUAGGAGAGGUUAAACCAACAUGUUGUCAUAGAGAUCCAUAUCAUAGAAAUGAUUGAAGUUAAUGCUGGAUAUUUGUUAACAAUUUUUAUUUUAUUGAGAUAAAGGCAAUUUUUAUUUUAUUGAGAUAAAGGCCCUUCGAGCUGUGCUACCCAGCCUUCAUUUUAACCCUAGCCCAUUCAUGGGACAAUUUACAAUGACCAAUUAACCUACCGACUGUUACGUCUUUGAACUGUGGGAGCACCCCGAGGAAACCCACGGGGGUCACAGGGAGAACAUACAAACUCCUUACAGACAGCAGCGGGAAUUGUACCUGGGUUGCUGGUACUGUAAAGCAUGGUGCUAACCACGAAGCUACCAUGCUCUCCUAUCACACAGUUCCUCGUUCGCACCCACUCUCGAGACACCCAAAUGGAUGUCAAUCAGCAUGGUCUGGUUUGCAACCAACUCCAUUCUACAACAAAAGACAUAAAUGAGUAGGGCAGGAUUCAAAGAUGUAUAUUAGUCUCAAGAAAGAUGUCUGUUUUUGAGACCAGUUCCAGCCUGCCACCGCAGUUAGGAUGGAUUGAUAAGCUGAUAACAAAAUGGAUUUCCUUUACCAUUGGAGGAAGGUGAAGCUCUACUUAAGGUUUAAUUUGGUACAGUUAAUGGAAGUGAGAAGGCCAGAAAGUAGCCUGAUAGAUGCCUUUGAAGAUUGUAAAGGACAGAGGCCAAAAAUAGGGGCCAAGUAAAUAAGACAAAAUGUUUAGUAAUUUAGGAGGCACUUACACCAAUGAUUAUAAUGUACAUAUGGUUACUACAAUGAGUGAAUAUGCUGACGAGUGAAACUAAAUGUACAUACAACAGGAAGUGGAGCAAGUGUUGAUGAGAUUUAUUGUUGCAAGGAGGGAACACCCAAGGAGUGUCAGCACUGGAACAGGUCUCUAAGCCUGGAAGUCCUCUUCCUGUGCUAUAUAAAAGCAAUACAUUGUGUAACAAUAUUAUCUUCAAUAAAAUUAACCUGAAUACUUACAUUUUCAUUGGAUAGCUAAUUUAAUUCAGAAAGAACAUUUUUAACAAUCCGAUGUUUAAACAAAAGAGGAUAAUUUUAACUUCUUUGAUUCUGUACAUAGAGCCAAAGGAAAUCACAGCACAGAAACAGGCCCUUCGGCCCAUUUAGUCCAUGCCAAACCAUUUAAAAUACCUACUCCCAUCGAUCGGCAUUGGGACUAAGCCCUCCAUACCCCUACCAGACAUGUAUCAAUUAAAAACUUCUUUAAACAUUGAAAUCGAGCUUGCAUGCACCACUUGCAAUGGCAGCCCAUUCCACAGUCUCACUACCUCCUGAGUGAAGAAGUUUCCCCUCAUGUUCCUCUUAAACUUUUCACCUUUCAACCUUAACCCAUGACCUCUAGUUGUAGUCCCACCCAACCUCGGUGGUAAAAGUCUGCUUGCAUUUACUCUAUCUAUACCCAUUAUAAUUUUGUAUGCCUCUAUCAAAUCUCUCAGUCUUCUAUGCUCCAAGGAAUAAGGUCCUAACCUAUUCAAUCCUUCCUUAUAACUCAGGUCCUCCAGACCCAGUGAUAUCCUUGUAAAUUUUAUCUCUCAUCUUUCAACCGUAUUUACAUCUUUCCUGUAGGUAGGUGACCAAAACUGCACACAGAGCUCCACAUUAGGCCUCACCAGUGUCUUAUACAACUUUAUACAACUUCAAUAGCAUCCCAUCUCCUGUAUUCAAUACUUUGAUUCAUGAAGGCCAAUGUGCCAAAAGCUUUCUUAUCUACCAGUGACACCACGUUCAAUGAAUUAUGCACAUGCAGAUAUUCUGAUCUUAUUAAUGUUAUCCAACAUUAUUAUUUGUAGGCUGUGAACAUGGCUAUCAGGGACAACAGAAGCACAAACUCCACACAGUCAUGAGAAAUUAUACAGAGCCAAUUGAUUAACAUUUGUUUUCCUAAUUGGAGACUUUUAAUUAAUAUUACUUUAUUGCUCUACCCUACAAAACUAUUUCAUGUCUAAAUAUCAUAUGUAUAUUGCUUCAAGUUCAGUGACUGUCCUUCCCUUUACACUCUUACUCUGUGAGUUAUGUAAUGCCUUAUCCUACUCUGGUGCUUCCCUUCAUGACAGUCUGCACUAGGUGAUGCAUAGCAUGAGGAAGCAGUCUUUCUAGCAGAAAUUACAUAAUCUUGACAAGCAGCCGACAUAUAGCCUAGCAUCAAGGAGAAAACAAGGCAACAGAAGACCCCUGUCUUGCUACAUCUCUAUCCUUCAAGGCUGGAUUUCUUUCUGAAUGAUCUGCUACUGGGUGCUGGGCCAAGUUGGUGGGAUUCCACGUUAAGGGGAACUCACCGUGAAUGAUUCUCCAGGAGUUUCCAACUGAUGGCCAUUAACACAGCAACAAUGGGGCCAUGGGGAAGAUGUAUAUGAUGAAGGAGUAGAAAAAAAAUAUCCAAAAAUUCAAAAAACAUUAAGUUGUGAAACAGAAUCAGUAAAAUUCUGAUAAACCAUAAUUCCAACAUUUCAACAAUUGGUAAUGUGCUCCCUUCAAACCCACCAGAACCCUGCUUCCAGCACCUCUUUAAAUACACUGACAUCUUGCUUCUAUGCUCCCCUCAAUCUCAAAGUAAUCCUUUCCCAGUGCUCCCUCCAAGCACUCUGGGAGCCCGUUUCCUGUGCUCCUGUGUAAUCACCUGGUUCUCCUUCCUGCACACACACGCUUUAAACUCUGCCGGUCCUGGCGCUGCCCAGAAGGCAGCAAUGGCAAUCCACUUCUGCAGAAAAAUUGGCCGAGAACGUUCAAGGUUCAAGAAAGACUACGAUCGCCCACAUCCUACAAGGUGGCACACAAUGACGGUGAUGGUCCUGACUGUCUUUAAAGUAGCAAGUCUUGCACUGCUUUGAAACAGAACACUCCAAUUACUGCACAGUAUUUUAGUCAACCUGUUGCAUGAUCUUCCUCAACAUUAGAACAUGUUUGAAUAAAUAGAAUGAUGCCAUGAUGUUCUAAUUGUAUAAUAUACUGAUAAACAAAAGUAUUGACACACAGUAGACUUUUGGUGACUUAUUCCACCUCAAAGAUAAAGAAGUGAGCUUUCUACAUUAUACUGCAACGUCAGAUAAAAGUCCAACCUCACAAAUCAGGUCUUUGCCAAUAAGCCACAAAGUACUAGUAAUGGAAACAAAAUCAGUAUGCAAGUGGAACUUAAAUGUACAUAGAGAAUUAAAGGGGAUUGGUUGUUUUAGAAUUGUGAUGGCCAUUCACUAUGUCUUUUUUUAGCAUAGCAAAAGAAAAACUGUUCAAGAUUCAAGAUGAUUAAUGUUAAUUUUUUUAACAGUAUUAUUUAGUCAUCCCUGUUGAAAAACCAAUACUGUCCAGGCUCAAGAAGCCUGUUGUUGGUGUAACUCAGACUACAACCUAAUCGGAAGAAACGACAUGGUCUGAUAAUCUGAGGUUCCUGUCAUCUGACCUGAUCAAUGCAAUUGUGAAAACAUCACAUGCAGAUGAGAUUAGCACUAGAUGACUGGCAGAAAAAAAUAAGCAUUAGAAGUUGGAAGGGAGCUACAAAGAUGAAGACAGAAUUCAUGCCUCUGCCUCAGCUCAAGAAGGAUCUCUUCCCAGAAUCUUCUUUUCAUGUUCUUCCACAACACAUUCAAGCUUGUAAGAAUUGUACUUGUGGUUGGAAAUCCUAUGUAGAAUUAUAAUCUCUGAUGGA